rnacentral:lncRNA from 1 species
AGAGGUGUCUGAGGACUCAUGAAACAAGAUAUAUUCUCGGCUACUGAGCUCAAAUCAGGGCGAGGGAUCACCUCCUGAGCCUCACCACCAGCGCUUUCAUUCUGGGGCGGUGCUCCUGGCACCUGGCAUUAUGAAAGUCCCUCUCUUCUUCCUGGGCCUGCAGGUUCUGGCUGUCUCUAUCCUGACCCUGCCCACCGACAGGCCUCUCAUCAGAGCUCCUCCUUUGGUGGGAAUGGUCCCAGUGCCGGUCUCACUCACUGUUCGGACCUCUCCUGUGCUCCUGUUCUGAUGGCUCCCGGUGCUGCUGAUCCUUGCUGCUGAUCUUCUCGUCCUCUCCGUGGAUGGUCCUCACGUUCCUGCUUCACUGUGACUACGGAGUAGUGGGGACUCUGGCUUUUCUUAGCCCGAGGAGACUUGCUUCUUCUCCCGAAGUACUUGCUUUUCGUUUUGGCUGGGAACAGGCUCACUCCCAGGGCUUGGCUUGGACCAGCUCAGAGGUGGGCAGGGACAGGGACAGGGACAGGCUAGCGGCUGGUGCACGACCAGUUCGGGGCUCAGAGGCUCCUGCUUCACUACCAUAGUCGCCUGACCUCUUGUGACCCAGAAAAAAGUUCUAUGUCUUAAUCUGCAGGCAGCCAGAAGCAGACUGAGCCACACUGGGUGUAGCUUGAGCAUAUAAGACAUCAAAUCCCGCUCCCAUAGUGACACACUUCCUCCAAUAAGGCCAUACCUCCUAACAGUGUCAUUUAUGGGACUGUGGGGGGUCUUUUUUUUUUUAAUCUAGGUUUUGCAAACAUGAGGAAGAAAAUGAUGUCUAUGGCCUAUAGAAUGUCAAAAAAAAAUGGAGUGUCAAAAAGUGCCUA